CGGUUUCCGGUUCAAAGCGGCCGCGCCGGUGUCCUGUGUUUUUGGAGCGAGCCGCGGCAAACCGGAUUUCUAGUUAGCGACUAAAACUAUCGGCCGAGACUCGGCAAUGGGAAGGACUUAACGACCCAUUGGAGCUUUGCAACUAUAGCGAAAGGAGGAUUACGAGCCAUCCGCACCUCCCGCGGGUAACGAACACCUUUCAAGUAAGAAGACCGUUCGGGAUUAUUGGCGACGACGAAGGAACCAUAUGCUUCGCGAGGCGAUGUACAGAGGUAGCUCAUUUGUGUACGUAGAGGAAGAGAGCGAAAGAAAUUUCCAUUCCGUGCGCGCAUUAUUCCUCUUCCAGCGUUGUCCAAUGCCGAGGACGAAGCGCGCACGCGAAGCUCAUUCGUGCCGUCAUAAAAGCGCAUUUUAAUCGCGAUACCCACGGCCGAGUUCUCGUUCGGCGGCCAUAGGUGAAACACGUGGACGAUGCUCGUUCUGAAAUCACGCGGCAGGACGUGCCAGGAAGCUUCCGGAAGUUUCAGGGAACAAUGAUAUACGGUUAUAUCUAUGCGCCCUCGCUCGCUCCCGUGGCAUUUAUACCGUCGGCCUACGUAACACCGUAUCUGUAGGCGGACAAAUCUACCGGGCGACUCGUAAACCACCGUCCUAUCCAACCGAGGGAUCUCUCACCCCCUCGCGCGCGCGCGCGCGCGCUUCACUCGUCCGCGAAAUUACAGUGCGAGAUCCUUCAGCGGCGUACCAACGUCCCUCAUACGCCCAUCCGGGAUUGAUAUGCCGGAUCCGCGAGAGCCGACAGAUUGAACUGCAACGUAACUGGGUCUCGAGUACUUCGUAGAAAGCGGGCGGGAUGAUAAUAAUGUGAGGGAUAGAUACACGCGGGUGGUGAAAGCCUCGCUCCCGAAGAUUACACGCGCAACUUACACGCGGAACUUUUAUCCCAAGCGAAACUUUAUAUAGUUCUCUCAUAUUAUAGACUCUCUAUGGGCGACGGACUCGAGACGCGUCGCAUCACCUCGAAUAUAUGAUGAAAAUCUCGAAAAUUUACGAAUAUCUCCUAAAUGUUUUAAAAAUAUAUAUUUUUUUUCUCUCACGA